rnacentral:rRNA from 1 species
UACAGAGGUCUCAAGCGUUGCUCGGAUUCAUUGGGCGUAAAGGGUGUGUAGGUGGCGCCGUAAGUCGGGUGUGAAAUUUCGGAGCUUAACUCCGAAACUGCAUUCGAUACUGCGGUGCUUGAGGACUGGAGAGGAGACUGGAAUUCAUGGUGUAGCAGUGAAAUGCGUAGAGAUCAUGAGGAAGACCAGUGGCGAAGGCGGGUCUCUGGACAGUUCCUGACACUGAGACACGAAGGCCAGGGGAGCAAACGGG